CGGUCCCUAUCUGCCACGGGCGUUGGAUGGUUGAGAGGAGCUGCUUUUAGUACGAGAGGACCGAAGUGGACGAACCUCUGGUGUACCAGUUAUCGUGCCAACGGUAAGUGCUGGGUAGCCACGUUCGGAAGGGAUAACCGCUGAAAGCAUCUAAGUGGGAAGCCCACCUCAAGAUGAACCAUCCCUGGGGGUAUAACCCCCCUGAAGGCACCAGGGAGACUACCUGGUUGAUAGGCUGGAGGUGGAAGCGCAGUAAUGCGUGGAGCCGACCAGUACUAAUCUGCCGUGAGGCUUGACCAUAU
rnacentral:rRNA from 1 species